GAUGAACGCUGGCGGCGUGCCUAAUACAUGCAAGUCGAGCGAAUGGAUUAAGAGCUUGCUCUUAUGAAGUUAGCGGCGGACGGGUGAGUAACACGUGGGUAACCUGCCCAUAAGACUGGGAUAACUCCGGGAAACCGGGGCUAAUACCGGAUAACAUUUUGAACCGCAUGGUUCGAAAUUGAAAGGCGGCUUCGGCUGUCACUUAUGGAUGGACCCGCGUCGCAUUAGCUAGUUGGUGAGGUAACGGCUCACCAAGGCAACGAUGCGUAGCCGACCUGAGAGGGUGAUCGGCCACCCUGGGACUGAGACGCGGCCCAGACUCCUACGGGAGGCAGCAGUAGGGAAUCUUCCGCAAUGGACGAAAGUCUGACGGAGCAACGCCGCGUGAGUGAUGAAGGCUUUCGGGUCGUAAAACUCUGUUGUUAGGGAAGAACAAGUGCUAGUUGAAUAAGCUGGCACCUUGACGGUACCUAACCAGAAAGCCACGGCUAACUACGUGCCAGCCGCCGCCGUAA
rnacentral:rRNA from 1 species